rnacentral:rRNA from 1 species
GACGAACGCUGGCGGCGUGCUUAACACAUGCAAGUCGAACGGAAAGGCCCUGCUUGUGUGGGGUGCUCGAGUGGAGAACGGGUGUGUAACACGUGAGUAACCUGCCCUUGAUUUUGGGAUAACUUCAGGAAACUGGGGCUAAUACCGGAUAGGAGCUCCUGCUGCAUGGUGGGGGUUGGAAAGUUUCGGCGGUUGGGGAUGGACUCGCGGCUUAUCAGCUUGUUGGUGGGGUAGUGGCUUACCAAGGCUUUGACGGGUAGCCGGCCUGAGAGGGUGACCGGCCACAUUGGGACUGGGUUACGGCCCAGACUCCUCCGGGAGGCAGCAGUGGGGAAUAUUGCACAAUGGGCGGAAGCCUGUGGCAGCAACGCCGCGUGCGGGAUGACGGCCUUCGGGUGGAAAACCGCUUUCGCCUGUGACGAAGCGUGAGUGACGGUAAUGGGUAAAGAAGCACCGGCUAACUACGUG